rnacentral:rRNA from 1 species
GACGAACGCUGGCGGCGUGCUUAACACAUGCAAGUCGAACGGAAAGGCCCUGCUUUUGUGGGGUGCUCGAGUGGCGAACGGGUGAGUAACACGUGAGUAACCUGCCCUUGACUUUGGGAUAACUUCAGGAAACUGGGGCUAAUACCGGAUAGGAGCUCCUGCUGCAUGGUGGGGGUUGGAAAGUUUCGGCGGUUGGGGAUGGACUCGCGGCUUAUCAGCUUGUUGGUGGGGUAGUGGCUUACCAAGGCUUUGACGGGUAGCCGGCCUGGGAGGUGGACCGGCCACAUGGGGCCUGAGGGAGGGCCCAGCCUCCAACGGGCGGCAGCGGGGGGGAAUAUGGCGGAGGGGGCGGAAGCGUGAUGCGGAGGCGCCGGGAGCGGGAUGACGGCUUUCGGGUGGAAAACCGCUUUGGCCGGAGACAAGGCGGGAGUGACGGUAACGGGUAAGAAAGCACCGGCUAACUACGUG